rnacentral:rRNA from 1 species
GACGGGAGAUGCGAGCGUUGUUCGGAAUCAUUGGGCUUAAAGCGUGUGUAGGCGGCCCGGUAAGUACCUUGUGAAAUCCCACGUCUCAACCGUGGAACUGCUUGGUCUACUGCCGGGCUCGAGGUUGGUAGAGGUGCCUGGAACUCUAGGUGGAGCGGUGAAAUGCGUAGAUAUCUAGAGGAACGCCCGUGGCGAAAGCGGGGCACUGGGCCAAUCCUGACGCUGAGACACGAAAGCGUGGGGAGCAAACGGG